AUUGAACGCUGGCGGCAGGCCUAACACAUGCAAGUAGAACGAGAGGCGGACGGGUGAGUAAUGUAUGGGGAACUGCCAGAUGGAGGGGGAUAACUACUGGACACGGUAGCUAAUACCGCAUACCAUCGGAUGACCCCAUAUGGGAUUAGCUGGUAGGUAAGGUAACGGCUCACCUAGGCGACGAUCCCUAGCUGGUCUGAGAGGAUGACCAGCCAUACUGGGACUGAGACACGGCCCAGACUCCUACGGGAGGCAGCAGUGGGGAAUAUUGCACAAUGGGCGCAAGCCUGAUGCAGCCAUGCCGCAUGUAUGAAGAAGGCCUUCGGGUUGUAAAGUACUUUCAGUCGGGAGGCGUUACCGACAGAAGAAGCACCGGCUAACUCCGUGCCAGCAGCCGCGGUAAUUC
rnacentral:rRNA from 1 species